rnacentral:rRNA from 1 species
CCUACGGGAGGCAGCAGUGGGGAAUCUUGCGCAAUGCACGACAGUGUGACGCAGCAACGCCGCGUGGGGGAAGAAGGCUUUCGGGUCGUAAACCCCUUUCAGGAGGGGCGAAGCUCCGGCCGCGAAUAGCGGUCCGGAGUGACGGUACUUCCACAAGAAGCCCCGGCUAACUACGUGCCAGCAGCCGCGGUAAUACGUAGGGGGCUAGCGUUGUCCGGAAUCAUUGGGCGUAAAGCGCGCGUAGGCGGCCAGAUAAGUCCGGUGUGAAAGUCACAGGCUCAACCUGUGAAUGCCGCUGGAAACUGUCUGGCUAGAGUCCGGAAGGGGCGAGUGGAAUUCCUGGUGUAGCGGUGAAAUGCGCAGAUAUCAGGAGGAACACCAAUGGCGAAGGCAGCUCGCUGGAACGGUACUGACGCUGAGGCGCGAAAGCGUGGGGAGCGAACAGGAUUAGAUACCCUGGUAGUCCACGCCGUAAACGAUGGGCACUAGGUGUGGGAGGUGUCGACUCCUCCUGUGCCGAAGCUAACGCAUUAAGUGCCCCGCCUGGGGAGUACGGCCGCAAGGCUAAAACUCAAAGUAAUUGACGGGGGCCCGCACAAGCAGCGGAGCAUGUGGUUUAAUUCGACGCAACGCGAAGAACCUUACCUGGGCUUGACAUGUUCCUGACCGCCGUGGAAACACGGCUUCCCUUCGGGGCAGGAUCACAGGUGGUGCAUGGCUGUCGUCAGCUCGUGUCGUGAGAUGUUGGGUUAAGUCCCGCAACGAGCGCAACCCCUGUCGCAUGUUGCCAUCAUUUAGUUGGGGACUCAUGCGAGACUGCCGGUGACAACCGGAGGAGGGUGGGGGAUGACGUCAAGUCAUCAUGCCCCUUAUGUCCAGGGCUACACACGUGCUACAUUGGCGCAUACAAGGCGGCAAACCGUGAGGUGAGCGAAUCCCAAAGUGCGUCUCGGUUCGGAUUGGAGGCUGAACUCGCCUCCAUGAAGGCGGGAGUUGCUAGUAAUCCGAAUCAG